UUGCUAUGGGAGGCCCCAACAAUUGUGUUUUUAAAAAUGUACACAAAUACACUUAAAAUGUUUAUUUUUGAACAGCUGCUAGGUUAUUAUGCGUCCGCAUGAUGCCAAAAUGAUUUUAUUCAAAUAUCAGCACUUAAGAUAUCCCUUAGCAGACAUUUGAAAACCCACUUUCCAUAUAUUACGGCGAUAGAGAAGUACUUGCUUAAAUUUAUCACAGUUUUUGAGAUACUUUGCUCAGUAAGUGUGAAGAUGUUUUCCUGCAUUUGGAAAAAACAAAAGAAAAGCCCUCCAGGGGAUGUACGCUCUGGAGAUGGUGAUAACGCAAGUCUGCAGAAGAGGCUACAGAGAGAGGCAUGGUCUCCCAUUUCCACCACAACCCCUGAUACCAGCGAGGCUCCCAGGACUAGAAAACCCUCCUUCUGGCAACGUUGGUCUCUUCAUAACAAGGUAUGUAUAGCAGAGCUGAUCAUUUUAAUUAAUAAGCAGCAAAGAAAAGUGGUUGUAAUUUGUGAGUGUCAGCACAGUCUGAGCUCAUCUGUGUGGAUUUAGAAGAAAAAGCAGACCCAUCUC